rnacentral:lncRNA from 1 species
AUAUGACUGAUGAUGGGUUUGACGAGUUCACCUUAACCCUAAUUCAGUCGAGACUCAUGAUAGAGGAACUCAAUCACACAGGUAGCUGUACCGAGAGGUUCGUCUUCAGUUCUGAUGGGUUGCCACCAUAUACUGCUAGGUGUCACCGAUGGAUUUUGGGAGAAUUAGAAUGAUAUUGAUGAUCGAUCAUUCUAAUUGUCUGAAUCAGAAGAGUUC